rnacentral:rRNA from 1 species
GGGUGGUAAUGCCGGAUGCUCCGACUCCUCGCAUGGGGUGUCGGGAAAGAUUUCAUCGGUAUGGGAUGGGGUCGCGUCCUAUCAGGUAGUCGGCGGGGUAACGGCCCACCGAGCCUACGACGGGUAGCCGGCCUGAGAGGGCGACCGGCCACAUUGGGACUGAGAUACGGCCCAGACUCCUACGGGAGGCAGCAGUGGGGAAUAUUGCACAAUGGGCGCAAGCCUGAUGCAGCGACGCCGCGUGCGGGAUGACGGCCUUCGGGUUGUAAACCGCUUUUGAUCGGGAGCAAGCCUUCGGGUGAGUGUACCUUUCGAAUAAGCACCGGCUAACUACGUGCCAGCAGCCGCGGUAAUACGUAGGGUGCAAGCGUUAUCCGGAAUUAUUGGGCGUAAAGGGCUCGUAGGCGGUUCGUCGCGUCCGGUGUGAAAGUCCAUCGCUUAACGGUGGAUCUGCGCCGGGUACGGGCGGGCUGGAGUGCGGUAGGGGAGACUGGAAUUCCCGGUGUAACGGUGGAAUGUGUAGAUAUCGGAAAAAAAACA